rnacentral:rRNA from 1 species
GAUAAACGCUAGCGGCAGGCCUAACACAUGCAAGUCGAACGGUAACAGGUAUAGCAAUAUAUGCUGACGAGUGGCGCACGGGUGAGUAACGCGUAUGUAACCUACCUAUAACUGAGGAAUAGCUCAGAGAAAUCUGAAUUAAUACCUCAUAACAUUAAUUUUUCGCAUGUUAAGUUAAUUAAAGUUCCGGCGGUUAUAGAUGGACAUGCGUGACAUUAGCUAGUUGGUAAGGUAACGGCUUACCAAGGCUACGAUGUCUAGGGGGUCUGAGAGGAUGAUCCCCCACACUGGUACUGAGACACGGACCAGACUCCUACGGGAGGCAGCAGUGAGGAAUAUUGGUCAAUGGACGAAAGUCUGAACCAGCCAUGCCGCGUGCAGGAUGACGGCCUAUGGGUUGUAAACUGCUUUUAUUUAGGAAGAAACCUUUGGACGUGUCCGAAAUUGACGGUACUAAAUGAAUAAGCAUCGGCUAACUCCGUGCCAGCAGCCGACGG